rnacentral:pre_miRNA from 1 species
ACAACUACCAGGUGAAACUGCCACAUGAUCUGAUCUUUCCUCAACCAAGUGAGGGAAGUUAAGAUCAUGCUGGCAGCUUCAACCGGUAGUGCUG